UGGCAGAGAAUUGAAUGUACAAUAAAAUAUAUUACAUUUAAAAAUCAAUCAAUUAAUUUAAUAUCUUAGUCAUUAAAAUAUUGCCUACCUUAAGUUCAUAUCAAAUUAAAAUCAACAUUUUUACAAAAAUAAAGUAUUUUUUUUUAAAUUUAACUAUUGUAUGGUUCAUAAUCUAAUUAGGUGGGUAAUUGUUUUUUUUAUUCUAUUCGUUUUUUUUUAAUUAUUCAUAUU